rnacentral:misc_RNA from 1 species
ACCUUCCCUGACUCACAGGGGGGUCAACAGUUUUUAUCAACAAUUUUAGUAACUUGCUGGUGCAUCUGGAAAGAGCGAAAUGCAGCAAAUAUUUUUUAAUUUAAUUGUGAUGCAGAUUGGAAAAAGGAUAAUUCUUCAGCAGCUAUUGCAGUCAUUGUCAGGAACUACAAAGUGAACAUUGUUGAUGGUGCUGCAAAAAAAGUUCAUUGUUCUUCUCCCCUUCAAAGUGAAGCGAGGGCAAUGUUG